CUCAUGCAUACAUAAAAGAUACACAAGGACCAUCUCUCUUCUUCCUCUUUAGGGUACGAAACCCGUCGCAAGUCUCUUAGUAUAGUGGAGCAGCUAAGUAAAUCAGAGAUGGACGUGAAACAGAAGAAUAUCAUGGUGGUGACUGUGGUUAUGAUGGUGAUCAUCAUGCUCAGCUCCUGUUUGGCUGCCAGGAAAACAUUCUCCCGGGAAAAUAUCCAUCGUCAAGGGGAUGAGAAAAAUUUCCGAGGGCUGAACGAAAACGAUGAAGAUUCCGCCGCGAAAUUCGGGUAUCCGAGGAGUAGUGUAGACAACCACCAUUACAUACCAAGGCAAGACUUUAACAACUAUGGAGGCGGAGGUGAUAACAAUGGUGGUAGUGGCUCGAAUGGUGGUGGAUAAAUUACAAUAAUGAUGAUGAUAAUAAUAAAAAGUAAUGCUAAAUAAUGAGGGAAAAAAAUGAAAAGAGAGUAUAUAUAUGUAUGUGAAAUUAGUUUUAAAAAAAUUACUAUGCAUGCAUUAUGGAAAACCCUUUUAUGUUUGAUUAAGUAUGUGAAAUCUUUUUUUUGUCUUGUUUAUGUUUGGAUUACUGUAAUGUAAUCUUCUGUUUAUAAAUAUGAUGUUUCCCUGAAAUAUUAUAUA